UUAUUUAUUAUUGCUACUAUAUCCCCCCUAUUUGAGUCAUGAAAAACUCAUGACUCAAUAAGCAGCAUAUAUAAAUAAUCUGUUUAAUGGUUUAGCCAUUAACACUGUCCUGUGUUACACAGCAAAAACCUGUGUAAAAGCAACAAAAAAAAAAUAAAUCACCAAAAUAAAAUGUUUUCAACAUCAAUAUCAAUUAGUAAUUUAGUUUUAAACAAUUUGUGAUAUAGCAAAUCAAAAUACAAACAAGUCUUUAGUGCAGCUUUACUGAAAAA